AUCGCCGCGUCAUUCAUCAGUUUUCUCUUGCCGUGAGUGGUUGGUCGUGCUUCUUGUGUGAUGUGCGGAAAAAUUGUGUCCAUACCCGUGCCCAGCAGCAGUAGCAGCAGAUUAUUCAUCCAUCAGCAGCAGCAGCAGCGCUACCUUUUUUCUUUAGUUUUUUGUUAAGUUUUCCACCCGGAAAAACGGUUUUCUCUUCAGUUUCGCGUUCCGGCAUUAGUGAUUCCCGAGGAAACAAAAACCCGUUCCGAUGAAAAAACGGUCCAAAAGAAGUGAAAAAUCCCUUUCCCGACGUUAGGAAUUUUAUUCAGUGCCAAGAAGAAGAGGAAUAAAAAGUAGCGAUAGACGGCUGCCACAGCGACGACGGAGUGACGAUAAACGGACAAAAAGAGUAGCUCGCUAAUUACGACGGCGACGAAAAAGCGCGUUUUGUGCGAGACUGUGGUGUUCUGGGAGUGCAAUUUCCGUGCGAGGACCGUUUUUACUUUAUUGGUUUAUUUAUUUUAAUAAUGAGUGAUUUUUCCAACCAGAACUCGCAAAAUUUUAGUCAAUCGUCAGCAUUUGCAGCCGCUUUACAGAGAGCUAAACAAAUUGCCGCUAAAAUACACCCGGGUGGUAACCAACCGGUUAAGAGAUCGAUUGAGGACGACUCGGGACCAGAAUCGAAAAAGUUUGGUGGACAGCCCGAUUAUAAUAAUGCCCAUUCGCCGACUGGCAUGAGUCCAGCUGCUAUGCAAGCCGCUGCUCAAGCUGCAGCCGUAGCCGCACGUUUGUCGCAAAUCAACAACAACUCAAACUCGAACCAACCCGCCGGAGGAGCACAAGAUCCAGUCCAGAGAGCACGUGACCUUAUUAGCAAAAUGGUGAACCAACAGGGAGGCGGUGGCCACAAUGGCCCAAUGGACAAUGGCAACCAUGGAGGCGGUGGCCGCGGAGGAUUCGGCGGAGGCCCAGGAAACUUUAACAACCAACCCUUCCAGGAGAUCAUGAUCCCCGGUUCCAAGGUGGGACUGAUCAUUGGCAAAGGAGGAGAAACAAUCAAACAACUACAGGAGAAAUCCGGAGCCAAGAUGGUCAUCAUCCAGGAUGGACCAGGACAAGAAAUGGAAAAACCCCUACGUAUUUCCGGCGACCCACAAAAGGUGGAGCAUGCCAAACAGCUGGUCUUUGAGCUUAUCCAGGAAAAAGAUAACUACAACGCCCAGCGGCAACAGCAACAACAGCAGGCACCAAUGAACGGAACCGAACAGGCGGAAGUCUUCGUUCCGAAAUCGGCAGUUGGCGUCGUCAUCGGAAAAGGAGGUGACAUGAUCAAGAAGAUCCAGGGCGAAUCUGGUUGCAAGCUGCAGUUCAUCCAGGGUCGUGGCGACGGACCGGGUGACCGUCGAUGCAUCGUGCAAGGGUCCAGGGCUCAGGUCGAAGAGGGAAAACGAAUGAUCGAGGAGCUGAUUGAGAGCGUCCAACGCCGAGAGCAAGGCGGCGGUGGACGAGGAGGUCGAGGUGGUGAUCGGGAUGACCGUGGCGAUCGGGGAGAUCGACAGCAUCGCGGUGGCCGUGAUAACCACGACAACGGCAACAGUGGACAGUAUGGAAACGAUUUCGGUGGUCCGCAAGUCACACGAGAAGAGUACACGUUCACGGUUCCGGUUAACAAGUGUGGUAUUAUCAUCGGUCGCGGUGGAGACACGAUCAAGCAGAUCAACCAGCAGUCUGGAGCACACACAGAAAUGGAUCGCAAGGCGUCCGCUAACCAGACGAACGAGAAAACAUUCACCACCAAGGGUGAACCACACCAAAUCGAGGAAGCCAAGCGAUUGAUCCAGGACAAGAUCAACAUGGAGAUCAAUCUGGUCUACGUCGGUACCUCGACUGCUCCCGCCCAACAGUAUCAGAACAAUGGCCAGCAGAAUGCUUACGGUCAGAGCUGGGGUGGCUACCAACAGCAGUCGUGGGAUCAAACCCCGCAGGUACAAGCCAGUCCGGCGUCCGCUGCGGCUGUCCAACAGCAACAGCAGCCUGGCGGCGGCGGCGGCGGUGGCCAGGCGGACUACUCCCAGCAGUGGAUUGAAUACUAUCGACAAAUGGGAAUGCACCGAGAGGCGGAGAUGAUCGAACAACAGGUCAAGGCACGACAGGCGGCGGCUUCGCAACAGGGUGCGGCGGCAGCGGUGGCAGCGACGGUCCAAACGACACAAGCUAAUCAAACUGUCCAAGGUACAUCAGUGGUUGCAACGAGCAAUGCCGGAGCCCAGCAAGCGAGUGGCGGUGGCGGAGGCGGUGGUGGUCAAGCCGACUACAGUGCCGAAUGGGCCGAGUACUACCGACGGCUCGGUAGGAUCGACGAGGCCGAAGCAAUUGAAAAGCAAAUCGCUGCUAACAAGGCUGUGCCGUCUGGAGCUGGUAGCGGAGGCCAACCGGGAGGUGCUGCUGGACAGCAAUUUGGCGGUGCAGGUGGAGCACCUGGAGGUGCCGGUGGAGGCAAUCCCCAGCAGAUGGCAGCCCAGCAGGCGGCCGGAGGUUUCAAUGCCCAACAGUUCCAGCAGUACUACGCGGGGGCGGCAGCCGCCGGAGGACAACCUGGAGGGUACCAAGGCUAUCCGUACGGGGGAGGAUAUCCGGGACAGCAAGGUGGACAGCCUGGCCAGCAGCAGGGUGGCCAGGGACCGGACAAAAACUAACCAAGCGUACGCUAAUUGUGCGUACCACAGUCGAAUGCUGAACUCACCCGACGACGACUAACUCCCCCUUCCAAAUCUGUAAAAUGUUAAGAUUAUGAAUGCUAUAUAACCAUAUGUAUCAACUAUUCGACAAAAUACAGAGUAACAAAACUAGCGUUAAAGCUAUGUAGGUCAAAUGGAAAACUAGAGUUGAUCACAGCUUAAUAGUGAAGGCAGAAAAACACAGACACACUAAACGUAGCCAUUAAUCAAGAAACUGAGAAGAACAAGAACAUUCAACUUAACGUAAACGUAAAGAAAACAUAGUAAACUAAACAUUAAUCAAUUGCAUUCAACUUCAAUAGAAUCUAUAUGUGUAUGUGUCCGUUUGAAACUUUAGGUUUUGGAUGGGUUUGAUUCCGGGUAUGACGGUACCGUGCAAAGUAACUGUUCUACACAAAACUGCGACGAAAAAAUACAACCAAGAACUGUGCGGUGCAUUCCCUGCAAUAGCCUCCUAACUACGGCGGGUUUUUGAGGGUUCGCUUUUGUGUCAGUAUUUUACCCGAAAGCGAAUUCUCCCAGUUAUAUUGGCGCUUCCGGUUACAAUGCUAUGAUAUGAGUUGCAUUUUAACGAUGGUAUAUGUGUUUUUCGAAUUAUAUGCUUUACCAAAUGAUGUAAUUAGACAAUUCCAUAUAGAUGCCACUUUCACACGAUUGAACUAAAUACUAAGUUUAUUAAAUGAACUGAUAUCACACCGUUCUUAUAUUAUUAUAUUUAUCAUUUCAUUUACCUUACCAUAAACAUCUAUUUUACUAAAUAAGAAAAAUGGCCAUUUUUCUUCUUGCAUUUAUACUAUUUUAUUACCAAUCGUAUGUCCCUUUCUUUAUUUUCUCAAGCUUCUUUUUACUUUCAUCAACAAGUUCAUCAAAAACAGACGCUAGCAAUGCAGAUUUUAGCUAAAGUUGCCGGAGGAUACUGGCGUAGGGACGUACGGGGAAAACAUAAUGCGAGUUUGAACUCGCCCGACCGGGAAGGUAAUUUCAUUCAGUAAUCUAUUGCUUUAUGAUGAUUUUUAUAACUGAAUUUACCAUUAUAUGAUAUUAUAUCUGUAACAUUCUCGCCACUAUAUGAAACUGUGUAAUGAUGUGUUAUCUUAUUAAACCAUACACAAUUUACCAUUGAAUGACACAUUUAGCUUAAUUCUAAAUGCAUUGAUUUUCUUAUAUCAACGUGUUAUUCUUCAAAGUGUUUUAAAAAUGGUCAACAUUCUUAUGUAUCAAAUGGACUUUUGAAUAACUUUAUAUAAUUUUAUCUCCGGAAUUGUUUAAAACUGCAACAGCUAAAGUGUGUAAUUCGAUUGCCUCCCCCCAAAAAAGGAACGUCGCCUAGUGUGGUGAUCAAAUCGGCACGUUCGGAACCGUUGGAAAUUGUGGAACAGUGAAGAAUCAAACACAACAAAAACACUACAAAGUUCUCAGUCUCGUUAUCAUACUCUUGUGGUUUAAUAGUCCAGUAAAUACCCAAAACAGAAGCAAAGAAAAAUGAACAAUAGUAACAGACGAGCAAGCAAAGACACUUUUAAAGGUGAUAAUGAUAAACUCAGAAAAGCCAAACAUAGAACAGUUCAGAAGACAGUUUCAAGCAAAGAUAAAAACAGUGAAUCGAUCAAUGGCAAAAAGUGACUGGAGAGCAGUUUCUGAAAGGACUCCUCCCUCCUGUAAUGCAGGCAAACCAAACAAGGACACGAAACAUGAUGACGGAGUGUGAACCCAAGGUGAGAUUGUAUCAAGAAUGCGUUACAUGUAAAUUAUUUGGGUUUUUAUUUACUACUGUUUGAUUACUUUUGUCACUCACAUAAUGCGUGUCACAGUGUUAUACACGCAAUCCAUAUAAUAAUAAACAUAUUAAUGAGAAAAUGUGUGUAGUCAAGGGUUUAUUAAUUCCGUAGUCUUACGAGAACGUUCAAAUACAUCCUCCUAUAAACAAACAGAUUAUCCAAUAACAUAAUUUAGUACAAUAAGAUACCAUUCUUUCUCUACACCUAUAUUGCACAUUACAUGAAGCAACAGUUUUUAUCUCAACGGUACUGCUCUAAAAACAUCAAAGUACAUUCUUUUAUUUUCUAUGUCACUGCAAUCUAUUUCCAAUUGUUCACCUGAAUAAAUUUCGAACACUGAUUAGAUUCACUUAUUCUAGAUAGGAAUAAAGAAAAAAAUGUGUCAGUGUGCAAAAGUUUGUUCCGUUCAAUCGCAGCGCAGCAGAACGCUAGUAGCAGGAUGUCUAGAAUCCGACUGCCGAACCGACACUGCAAACGAAGCAGCUUUCCGUUUAAGGAUCUCUCCCAGAGUGCACGGUGAUGAUGGCUCCAUCUACAGCAGUAGUGUUUAUGAUCUCAUUUUUUUUUCUGAGUUUACACAUCGUUUUGUUUGCAUCCAGAUGACGUGUAAUGCAACCAGCGUUAGGGAAAUUGAAAAUUUUCCUACUGUGGUGAAUGCAGGUAAUUGUUCUGAAGAGCAAGCAAAGUGAGUUACUUGUAUCUUUUUCUUGUUUGGUUACACAUUUGGUUGUCACAUAAAUACAGCUGUUCGUCAUACCCAA